GAAGAAAGGGAAGCAGAGAGUUCCGAAUCGGCUUCAUGCAAUCUACUCAGCUGCGGGAAGAAGCUUCAAGCUUGUUUCUUGUUUGGAUCUGCUUGAAUGAUUUCGCUUCCAUGCUUAUUCCUGUUGGCACAAGC
rnacentral:ribozyme from 1 species